rnacentral:tRNA from 1 species
UGUUUGUGGCUUAGUUAGCUAAAGCGUCGGACGACUAGCUAUACGGAAUCGUGGGUUCAAAUCCCACCAAAACAA